GCACAUCUGGAAUUUCUUUAGGAUAAGGUCGCUUCCGAGUAAAUCCGCAUGGUCAACGUUAUGUGACUCCAAAGGUAGAGAGCGAGCAAGGGGCCUUACAGAUAGUAUUGUUGUAAGUCGGGCAAAAAUAAUUACUGCCGGAAUGUUUGUGAUGUACCAUUUAUUCGCACGAUGAGUUGGUUGUUUGUUUUCAGGACCUGGACCUACCAGAGGUUGUUUUCGCGCUGAAAUUGAAACGUGACGGCGUGAAUAGCGUACAGGAGGGAGAAUCACAGUUCCUUUUUGUCCCACAGUAUGACAAUAUGUGGGUGUACAGUUCUUUUUGUCCCACAGUAUGACAAUAUGUGGGUGUACAGUUCUAGUAAUAACGGAUGAAGAACCCAGCGAUGUUUGUAUCCUGGAAUGCCACCGUGUAGGAUACAAUUAAAGAGAAGGACUUCAUAUUAUGCUACUUAAAAUAUUUACAUGUACUCAACUGUACAUAAUAGUACUCGGAGGAUUUGAUCACCGGUGUUUUCGGCUAAAAAAAUUGUUUGAAUCUAGCAAUAUCAAAACCUCAGACGGAGGUUAGAAUUGCCUUUUCUCUGCUGCCGCCUUGGUUCUUGUUCUUUUAUUCAGAACCAAUUACUAAAACUAUACAUAUAAUAAAUUAAAAGACGUUGACCAAU
rnacentral:sRNA from 1 species